rnacentral:rRNA from 1 species
AUAUCAGUAAGCGGAGGAAAAGAAACUAACUAGGAUUCCCUUAGUAGCGGCGAGUGAACAGGGAUCAGCUCAAAUUGUAAAUCUGUAGCUCACAGUUACAGAAUUGUAAUCUAUAGGUCUUUUAGGGAAGGCAUGUCUGUCGCAUAAGUUCCUUGAAAAAGGGCGUCAUAGAGGGUAAUAACCCCGUGUUAGGCGACAGUCGGCUGUACCGAAGGACUCCAAGAGUCGGGUUGUUUGGGACUGCAGCCCUAAAUGGGAGAUAAACUUCUUCUAAGGCUAAAUAUGUAUGGGAGACCGAUAGCGCACAAGUA